rnacentral:rRNA from 1 species
AGUGAACGCUGGCGGUAGGCCUAACACAUGCAAGUCGAACGGCAGCACAGUAAGAGCUUGCUCUUACGGGUGGCGAGUGGCGGACGGGUGAGGAAUACAUCGGAAUCUACUUUUUCGUGGGGGAUAACGUAGGGAAACUUACGCUAAUACCGCAUACGACCUACGGGUGAAAGCAAGGGAUCUUCGGACCUUGCGCGAUUGAAUGAGCCGAUGUCGGAUUAGCUAGUUGGCGGGGUAAAGGCCCACCAAGGCGACGAUCCGUAGCUGGUCUGAGAGGAUGAUCAGCCACACUGGAACUGAGACACGGUCCAGACUCCUACGGGAGGCAGCAGUGGGGAAUAUUGGACAAUGGGCGCAAGCCUGAUCCAGCCAUACCGCGUGGGUGAAGAAGGCCUGCGGGUUGUAAAGCCCUUUUGUUGGGAAAGAAAAGCAGCAGGUUAAUACCCCGCUGUUCGGACGGUACCCAAAGAAUAAGCACCGGCUAACUUCGU